AUUGAACGCUGGCGGCAGGCUUAACACAUGCAAGUCGAGCGAGCGGCGGACGGGUGAGUAAUGUCUGGGAAACUGCCUGAUGGAGGGGGAUAACUACUGGAAACGGUAGCUAAUACCGCAUACCAUCAGAUGUGCCCAGAUGGGAUUAGCUAGUAGGUGGGGUAAUGGCUCCCCUAGGCGACGAUCCCUAGCUGGUCUGAGAGGAUGACCAGACACACUGGUAGUGUGAAACGGUCCCGACUCCUACGGGCGGCAGCAGUGGGGAAUAUUGCACAAUGGGCGCAAGCCUGCUGCCGCCAUGCCGCGUGUGUGAAGCAGGCCUUCGGGUUGUAGAGUACUUUCAGCCAGGAGGCGUUACUCGCAGAAGAAGCACCGGCUAACUCCGUGCCAGCAGCCGCGGUAAUCC
rnacentral:rRNA from 1 species